rnacentral:rRNA from 1 species
UCUUCCUACGGGAGGCAGCAGUGGGGGAUAUUGCACAAUGGGGGAAACCCUGAUGCAGCGACGCCGCGUGGGUGAAGAAGCGCCUCGGCGCGUAAAGCCCUGUCAGCAGGGAAGAAAAUGACGGUACCUGAAGAAGAAGCCCCGGCUAACUACGUGCCAGCAGCCGCGGCAAUACGUAGGGGGCAAGCGUUAUCCGGAUUUACUGGGUGUAAAGGGGGCGCAGACGGCGAUGCGAGCCAGCAGUGAAAGCC